AAAAAACAGUUAGAAAGUGGAAGCUUCCAACACAGUGUUGAAGAUUGACGCAUUGUUUCUGAGAAAAAUCAAAUCCAGAUAUUGUUUGUAUGUACCAGUGAGACCUACGUUGGGGCUUGGGCGGCCACAACCCGAGACCGGACAAAAAUCAAUGAAAGAUAAAGGUCUUCGUUGAAAUUUAACCUAUUUCUUUAAAAAUUUUAUGUGUGAAUCUUUUAAGUUUAUAUAUUUAUUAUUUUGACUUCCUAAAGUUUAUUAUGUUUUUUUUUUUCUCCCUAUUCCGUAGAACCAAAUUUUGAUUCUGUAACCCUUGAUUCAUAGUGAAAAUACUUUGAUCUCGUCCGGACAAGAUAGCUGGACCUGUCUCGUCCGUAUAUAUGCGGACCACACCGGAACGUAGAGUCUAUUGUGACAGGAUAAUAGACGAAAUUACUCUCGGCAUGGGCCUCCUUCACAGACACAGGCCACUUCCCCUGAAUAGCAACAGGUGGUGUCUGGCCGCUGGCGUCAAGUCAAUGAUGUUUUACUGUAAGUAGUCAAAAAGUGAAAGAAAGAUGAGAAAUGAGUGAUAAGGUAUUCAAUGGAAAAAAGAAUGCGAAAGUGCUGAGAAAGCAGGCGAAAGAUGUGGUAGUGACUGAUGAAGGAUAUUCCGAAAC
rnacentral:lncRNA from 1 species